rnacentral:rRNA from 1 species
UCGAGAAUCUUUCGCAAUGGGCGCAAGCCUGACGAAGCGACGCCGUGUGAGCGAAGAAGGCCUUCGGGUUGUAAAGCUCUUUCGCUAGGGAACAAGAGAGUUGCGUGAAUAACGCAAUGAUUUGAUGGUACUUGGUAAAGAAGCACCGGCUAACUCCGUGCCAGCAGCUGCGGUAAUACGGAGGGUGCAAGCAUUGAUCGGAAUUACUGGGCGUAAAGGGCGCGUAGGCUGUAAGGGAAGUCAGGUGUGAAAUUCCGGAGCUCAACUUCGGAGCUGCACUUGAAACUUUCUUACUAGAGGGUAGUUAGGGAAAACGGAAUUCCACGUGUAGCGGUGAAAUGCGUAGAUAUGUGGAAGAACACCGGUGGUGAAGACGGUUUUCUGGGCUAUAACUGACGCUGAGGCGCGAAAGUAAGGGGAGCAAACAGGAUUAGAUACCCGCGUAGUCC